rnacentral:rRNA from 1 species
ACGCUGGCGGCAGGCUUAACACAUGCAAGUCGAACGGUAACAGGGAUUAGCUUGCUAAUCUGCUGACGAGUGGCGGACGGGUGAGUAAUGCUUGGGAAUCUGGCUUAUGGAGGGGGAUAACUACGGGAAACUGUAGCUAAUACCGCGUAAAAUCUUCGGAUUAAAGGGUGGGACUUUCGAGCCACCUGCCAUAAGAUGAGCCCAAGUGGGAUUAGGUAGUUGGUUAGGUAAAGGCUGACCAAGCCGACGAUCUCUAGCUGGUCUGAGAGGAUGACCAGCCACACUGAAACUGAGACACGGUCCAGACUCCUACGGGAGGCAGCAGUGGGGAAUAUUGCACAAUGGGGGGAACCCUGAUGCAGCCAUGCCGCGUGAAUGAAGAAGGCCUUCGGGUUGUAAAGUUCUUUCGGUGACGAGGAAGGUUGAUAGGUUAAUAGCCUAUCAAAUUGACGUUAAUCACAGAAGAAGCACCGGCUAACUCCGUGCCAGCAGCCGCGGUAAUACGGGGGGUGCGAGCGUUAAUCGGAAUAACUGGGCGUAAAGGGCACGCAGGCGGUGACUUAAGUGAGAUGUGAAAGCCCCGAGCUUAACUUGGGAAUUGCAUUUCAUACUGGGUCGCUAGAGUACUUUAGGGAGGGGUAGAAUUCCACGUGUAGCGGUGAAAUGCGUAGAGAUGUGGAGGAAUACCGAAGGCGAAGGCAGCCCCUUGGGAAUGUACUGACGCUCAUGUGCGAAAGCGUGGGGAGCAAACAGGAUUAGAUACCCUGGUAGUCCACGCUGUAAACGAUGUCGAUUUGGGGAUUGGGCUUUGAGCUUGGUGCCCGUAGCUAACGUGAUAAAUCGACCGCCUGGGGAGUACGGCCGCAAGGUUAAAACUCAAAUGAAUUGACGGGGGCCCGCACAAGCGG